rnacentral:rRNA from 1 species
CGUUGUUCGGAAUUACUGGGCGUAAAGCGAGUGUAGGUGGUUGUCCAAGUUGGAUGUGAAAGCCUUGAGCUCAACUCAAGAAAUGCAUUCAGGACUGGGCGGCUAGAGGACCGGAGAGGAUAGUGGAAUUCCCAGUGUAGUGGUGAAAUACGUAGAGAUUGGGAAGAACACCAGUGGCGAAGGCGGCUAUCUGGACGGUUUCUGACACUAAGACUCGAAAGCGUGGGGAGCAAACAGG